CAUCCUCCAAGGCUAAAUACUCCUGACUGACCGAUAGUGAACCAGUACCGUGAGGGAAAGGCGAAAAGAACCCCGGCGAGGGGAGUGAAAAAGAACCUGAAACCGUGUACGUACAAGCAGUGGGAGCACAGGUUUACCUGUGUGACUGCGUACCUUUUGUAUAAUGGGUCAGCGACUUAUAUUCUGUAGCAAGGUUAACCGCAUAGGGGAGCCGGAGGGAAACCGAGUCUUAAUUGGGCGUUAAGUUGCAGGGUAUAGACCCGAAACCCGGUGAUCUAGCCAUGGGCAGGUUGAAGGUUGGGUAACACUAACUGGAGGACCGAACCGAC
rnacentral:rRNA from 1 species